GAUUUUACUGAUACACAGUGUAGUUGAAUUGACAAGGACUCGCUUUGGGGGAAAAGUUUCAAUCUCCACCCCGCCACUUAUACCAGAAUUUCCUGUUCCAUCUCAUGGUGAACCACGCUUUUCAUGUUUUGUUGAAUCUGAAGCUGGUGGGGUACAAAUUGAAAGAUCCAUUGAUUUAAGAUCCUAGUGACUAUUUGUUCAAGCUCUUGCGUAUUGGAGAUUCUGGUGUUGGCAAAUCACGUCUUCUUUUGAGAUUUGCGGUAAGAUAGGAUCCACAGCAAAAUGGGUGAAGGUUAGUUUCUGCAACUAACAUAAUCUGAAAACCUCCCCUUGUCUACUUGCAUGGUACUUUCAGCAGUGUGUGCCUUUAGAAGCACAACUUGUAACCAGUUUGGCUGCCUGAUUGGUAGUUCCAAAUGCAAGAUCAUGCAUCUGGAGAAUGCUGUGCCCCUGAGCUGGUGAGUUGGCCGAAAAUGUUUCAAAAAUGAUUGAUUCUCAUUUUGCAGAGAAGAUUGAUAUGUCAGAAGUUCAGGUGAUGUAUAGAUUGAAAACCCAAAGAACCAUCCCUCCAUGAAAGAUUUCACUGAAUGAAUAAGACGAUAGUUUUACGACUUAAUUUUAUUUAUAUUUCCGCUGCGAACUCGAUAAUGUGAUAAGCUCCCAUUAAGAGAGAAUUUGAUAAUUUGUUGAAUUCUUUUACUCUAAUGAAAUAAUAAAUAUAGUCAAUUUUAUUCUCGUAAA